UCAGUGAGGUAAGUACUUCCAUCAUCCUCAUUUUACAGGGAAACUGGACACAUGGAGACAUUGAGCCACUGCCCAAAGUUACACAGGAAAGCCAGCUAUGUCAAUGUGGACACUCGAGCAGUCCUCUGGAGUGAGCCACAUGGUGAAAAAUGGAGUCCUCCUGCCACCAGCCAAAAGGGACUUGCCAACCUUGUGACUGAGCCGGCCCAGACACUCCAGCCCCAGUUAAACCUUUGGAAGACUGUGGCCUCACCAACAUCUUGACUGCAACUUCGUGAGAGACCCAGAGCUAGACCCAUGCAACUAAGCUGCUCCCCAAUUCCUGGCCCACAGACACUGGGAGAGAUAAUACAUGUUUAUUUCUGUUUGAAGCUGCUAAGUUUUG
rnacentral:lncRNA from 10 species